UUACCAGGGUGUUGCUAUGUUGUUGCUAAAGUUUUCUGCAUUGCUUUGAGGUUGCUAGAAUGUUAUGAGUGGUUACCAAGGUGUUGCUAUGUGUUUGUUAAAGUUUUCUACAUUGCUUUGAGGUUGCUAGAAUGUUCUGAGUGGUUACCAGGGUGUUGCUAUGUGUUUGUUAAAGUUUUCUACAUUGCUUUGAGGUUGCUAGAAUGUUCUGAGUGGUUACCAGGGUGUUGCUAUGUGUUUGUUAAAGUUUUCUACAUUGCUUUGAGGUUGCUAGAAUGUUCUGAGUGGUUACCAGGGUGUUGCUAUGUGUUUGUUAAAGUUUUCUACAUUGCUUUGAGGUUGCUAGAAUGUUCUGAGUGGUUACCAGGGUGUUGCUAUGUGUUUGUUAAAGUUUUCUACAUUGCUUUGAGGUUGCUAGAAUGUUCUGAGUGGUUACCAGGGUGUUGCUAUGUGUUUGUUAAAGUUUUCUACAUUGCUUUGAGGUUGCUAGAAUGUUCUGAGUGGUUACCAGGGUGUUGCUAUGUGUUUGUUAAAGUUUUCUACAUUGCUUUGAGGUUGCUAGAAUGUUCUGAGUGGUUACCAGGGUGUUGCUAUGUGUUUGUUAAAGUUUUCUACAUUGCUUUGAGGUUGCUAGAAUGUUCUGAGUGGUUACCAGGGUGUUGCUAUGUGGUUGUUAAAGUUUUCUACAUUGCUUUGAGGUUGCUAGAAUGUUCUGAGUGGUUACCAGGGUGUUGCUAUGUGUUUGUUAAAGUUUUCUACAUUGCUUUGAGGUUGCUAGAAUGUUCUGAGUGGUUACCAGGGUGUUGCUAUGUGUUUGUUAAAGUUUUCUACAUUGCUUUGAGGUUGCUAGAAUGUUCUGAGUGGUUACCAGGGUGUUGCUAUGUGUUUGUUAAAGUUUUCUACAUUGCCUUGAGGUUGCUAGAAUGUUCUGAGUGGUUACCAGGGUGUUGCUAUGUGGUUGUUAAAGUUUUCUACAUUGCUUUGAGGUUGCUAGAAUGUUAUGAGUGGUUACCAGGGUGUUGCUAUGUGUUUGUUAAAGUUUUCUACAUUGCUUUGAGGUUGCUAGAAUGUUCUGAGUGGUUACCAGGGAGUUGCUAUGUGGUUGCUGGAAGGUUGCCAGGGCAUUGCAUUAAGCACAUUGUAAUGCAGUAUAUUUUGGCCUGUACAUAUGGCUUGUGUUACAUUAAACAUGAAUUCCUGACCAUAUGUUUGUUUGUAUGCAGAUUGAUGAUAAUGACGACUCGCACAACAUGUAUGUUUUGA
ensembl:lncRNA